CUGGAAGUUCUCCCUGGGAGGAGACUGAUUCCUUUUGCAUACCCCAUGGUGCUAUCUAUCAUGGUCCUCUGAACACAUCUCCGGGCUAAAUAUUUGUUGAAAAUGAAUUGGCUGAGAGCCACUUGAUUUUUGUUUGUCUUAAGAGAUCCAGUAGGAGGCCAUAGGAAAGUUUGGCUUUACAGAAAUGUGGAAAGUUUCCCUUCCAAGAGCACUGGAGCAAGCAGACACCACACAGAGAUGAAGCAGGUGAGCAUAAUAUAAAUAGGAGCACCCUUGUGAAUGUAGCAUUCCAGCCCCUCACACAAUCUUCAACAAUUAAGGAAUGGGAAGAAGUAUGUAGAGUAUGAAUUGAGCCAUACCAAGAAUAAGUGACUUACCCAAGGUCACACACCAAUAGCUGGUGGAACUGGAACUUGCUCCAUUUUUUUCAGAUUCUAAAUUCAUUUACUCCAGCAUUCAACAAUCACUAAAGAAUGCAGGGUUGGCACUGUGCUGUCUUUUGGAAUAUAAGAAACAAUAGGACACAGUCCCUGCCUUGGUAAAGCUUACAGUCUAGGGUGGGGAAGAUAGUCAAGUAAACAAGAAACAGUAAUACAGGCUUGGCUAUGGUUUAUUAAGGAAAUUACCGGGAAUGAUGGGAUCACUUGAGGGACCCCAGCCCAGGGGCACAGAGGCAGUGAU
ensembl:lncRNA